CGCUUCAAACAUCAAUUAAUUAGGGAUUAGGGUUUUCACUAAAGAACUCCCCUCCUAAAAUUUUAACCCCUGCUUCUCCCCUAUGUUUGGCCGAUCGAAGAAGUCUGCUCCCACAUAUCUAAUCUGAUCAAAGAACUAAGCCGCUUGUAGAACAAACACACGUAAUUUUACCUUUCAGUUAGAUGAGUAGCCGAAGAAGGAUGAGGUUUAGCCGGCGGUCAUCUUGUAGUUAUGUGUGUUUGAGAAAGAGAGAGAGAGAGAGAGAGAGAGAGCCAAUCAAUCGCUCCCGAAGACAACAAACAUUUUGUUUUUACAUCAGCACAUUAAAGGUAUGUGGUGGUAAUGAAAAUUGGAAAUGUUGGAUGGUGGUGAUGGUGGAAUUGUAAAUCGGAAAAUGGUGGAUGGUGCUCAUUUGAACAAAUAUCAAAGGAAAGUUGUCAAAUAUAAUACGUUUUCAUUUAAUAGUAUAAAUUCUAGUUGCAAUAUAUUUUGACGCCAACGCUGCCGCAAAGCGUGGCGGUUAUAAUACUAGUUUGAACCAUUCAUUGCAUUCAGAAAAGUAAUGCUCCAGAUUUUAAGCUGCAAGGACUGUACAGUCCAACAUCUUUUGGAAUCUGCAUCAAUUCUUCGUAAGCUCUAGGACAUUAUUGGAGAAGUAUCUGAAAAUGAAGCUAUGCGUUUUAGAAAACAUAAGGUGAUUUAUACAGUUUUUGUUUUGCGGGGCAUCAGUAGGGGUGUUCUUCGGGUUUUGGGUUUUUUGGUUCGGUUGUUUGGGUUUUUUGCUAGGAAAAUGUGACCCUAUAACCGACCCGUUUAAAGUUCGGUUUGAUCAGGUUUGGGUUGUUCGGGUUAGUUGAAGUCGGGUUGCUCGGUUUUCGGUUUAGAUGUAAAAUGAAAAUAAUUGUUUUUUGGUUUACAAAAUAUCAUCAAAAUUCAUAUUGCUACCAAAAAAUAUCAUCAAAAUUUAAACAUCAUUCGACAAUAUGAUAUUACAAAGUUCAAAAGUCCUAAAACUUAAUUUUCUAAAUACCAGAGACUCCAGACCAAAACACAUCUAUAAGAAAAGACAAUAUAUGUUUGGUUUUUUUCUUCGAAUUACGUGUUUCGGGUUUAUCGGGUCGGAUUUUUCGGGUUUUUUGGCUGGGAAGAAGUGACCAGAAAGCCGACCCAUAGCAUAGUUAUUGAUAGCGCUGAUAGCGUUUUCUAUCGCCCGCUUCGUAGCGAAGCGCCAAGGUCUCGCAAUUUGAAUAGCAACUGAAAGAUUGGUGCAGUAGAUAUUGAUCUUGCAAUAUAAUUGGUGUACAGUUGCAGACCUCAUGGGCAGCAUGCAGUAGUUUUGGCUGAUGAUGCGGCAAGGUACAUGGAAAACCGCUAUCAUCGUAACUUUCCGAGUCCAGGCCCGAUUGUUAGCGGGUCAAAGCAAAUUUAUUUGACAUUUCCAGCCAAAAGCACCUUCACCGAAGAUGACGUUUCCAACUACUUCAGUAACUUUGGCCCGGUUCAUGAUGUGAGAAUUCCUUGUCAACAAAAACGGAUGUUUGGAUUUGUAACGUUUCAAAAUUCUGAAACGGUGCAAAUGGUUUUGUCAAAAGGGAACCCGCAUUAUGUUUGUGGGGCGUGUGUUCUUGUAAAACCGUAUAGAGGAAAACUGAAACUAUUUGACAGAAAAUACUUUGAGAAGUUUGAGGCUCCAUUGUGUUACAAUUCUAUUUUCUCAUCGGGCUUGUUUAUGCGGUGGUGACGCCACUAUUGAUUCUAUUUAUCUUGGUUUUCUUCGGGCUAGCAUUCGUUGUGUAUCGCAAUCAGGCAAUUAAUGUAUACAACCCAAAAUAUGAAAGCAGAGCGGCAUUCUGGCCUGAUCUCCCUGGACGUGUGAUCACGGCAUUGAUUAUAUCACAAAUACUUUUGAUGGGUUUGUUGAGUACAAAACACGCUGCUGCUUCGACUCUGGUUCUCCUUGCACUUCUAGCUCUGACAAUGGGGUUCCAUAUCUACUGUAAAGGUAGAUUCGAACCUGCGUUUACCAGAUAUCCGUUACACAGGAAGCUAUGAAUAAAGACACUCUUGACCGAGUAAAGGAACCGAACCUGAGCCUGAACCUGAAAGGCUACCUUGAGUAUGCUUACAUUCAUCCUGUUUUCAAGGAUGAUGGUUCUGACGAUCACUAUGAAGAUGAGACUCCCAUCGUACCCACUAAAAGACACACCCGCCCUGAGCCUAGCAAGACAAAUGAGGAGGAGAUCCUUCAAGAAAAGCAUAAGCCAUGAAUGAACGUGUUAAAGUUGCUACCCAAUGAAAGCAACGUUCUUUAUAACAUAUAUAAUGGUUAACGGGUGGAGUGGUACUGCUGAAAAAGAUGAAGAAAAAGAAAGAUUCAAUGGAAUUAUUGCGGGGUUGUUGGCUGAAAAAGAAAAAAGAUAAGCAAUGUUAACUGCUACAGUUUGAAGAUAGGCUAUAAACACUUGGUUUUGAAUGUUUAGAUGCUUAUCUUUUUAGGAUAAUUUUAGUUAUUUUAUGUUUUAGUUGGUAUUUUUUAUAUGCUUUUGAAAACGAGAUGUUUUAUAUAAUUUUAGAAUUUUAUUAGACUUUUUUAUGUUAUUUGUAGUUUUAUUUAUAUGUAAUUU